UCGGACGUGGUGUAGUGCAACACCGCCUCUUUUUCUGCAGUGGAAAGUGUUCUGCGGGAGGCAAACCUGGGUUCGAUUCCCGGCGUCCGAA